rnacentral:rRNA from 1 species
GAUGAACGCUGGCGGCGUGCCUAAUACAUGCAAGUCGAGCGAACAGAUAAGGAGCUUGCUCCUUUGACGUUAGCGGCGGACGGGUGAGUAACACGUGGGUAACCUACCUAUAAGACUGGAAUAACUCCGGGAAACCGGGGCUAAUGCCGGAUAACAUUUAGAACCGCAUGGUUCUAAAGUGAAAGAUGGUUUUGCUAUCACUUAUAGAUGGACCCGCGCCGGAUUAGCUAGUUGGUAAGGUAACGGCUUACCAAGGCAACGAUACGUAGCCGACCUGAGAGGGUGUUCGGCCACACUGGAACUGAGCCACGGUCCAGACUCCUACGGGAGGCAGCAGUAGGGACUCUUCCGCAAUGGGCGAAAGCCUGACGGAGCAACGCCGCGUGAGUGAUGAAGGUCUUCGGAUCGUAAAACUCUGUUAUUAGGGAAGAACAAAUGUGUAAGUAACUGUGCACGUCUUGACGGUACCUAAUCAGAAAGCCACGGCUAACUACGUG